rnacentral:rRNA from 1 species
UACGGAGGGUGCGAGCGUUAAUCGGAAUUACUGGGCGUAAAGCGCACGUAGGCGGUUUGUUAAGCUGGAUGUGAAAGCCCCGGGCUCAACCUGGGAAUUGCACUCAGAACUGGCAGGCUAGAGUACGGUAGAGGUGAGUGGAAUUUCCUGUGUAGCGGUGAAAUGCGUAGAUAUAGGAAGGAACAUCAGUGGCGAAGGCGACUCACUGGACUGAUACUGACGCUGAGGUGCGAAAGCGUGGGGAGCAAACAGG